rnacentral:rRNA from 1 species
GAUGAACGCUAGCUACAGGCUUAACACAUGCAAGUCGCGGGGCAGCAUAGUGAUUGCUUGCAAUUACUGAUGGCGACCGGCGCACGGGUGAGUAACGCGUAUCCAACCUACCCUUUACUACGGGAUAACCCGGCGAAAGUCGGACUAAUACCGUAUGUAGUCCAUUGACGGCAUCCGAUUUGGACCAAAGGCUUAGCGGUAAAGGAUGGGGAUGCGUCCGAUUAGCUUGACGGCGGGGUAACGGCCCACCGUGGCAACGAUCGGUAGGGGUUCUGAGAGGAAGGUCCCCCACACUGGAACUGAGACACGGUCCAGACUCCUACGGGAGGCAGCAGUGGGGAAUAUUGGUCAAUGGGCGUAAGCCUGAACCAGCCAAGUAGCGUGCAGGAUGACGGCCCUAUGGGUUGUAAACUGCUUUUAUGCGGGGAUAAAAGAGCCCACGUGUGGGUUUUUGCAGGUACCGCAUGAAUAAGGACCGGCUAAUUCCGUGCCAGCAGCCGCGGUAAUACGGAAGGUCCAGGCGUUAUCCGGAUUUAUUGGGUUUAAAGGGAGCGUAGGCCGCCUCUUAAGCGUGUUGUGAAAUGCGGGUGCUCAACAUCCGACUUGCAGCGCGAACUGGGGGGCUUGAGUGCGCCGAAAGUAGGCGGAAUUCGUGGUGUAGCGGUGAAAUGCUUAGAUAUCACGAAGAACUCCGAUUGCGAAGGCAGCUUACUGUAGCGCAACUGACGCUGAUGCUCGAAAGCGUGGGUAUCGAACAGG